rnacentral:lncRNA from 1 species
GAGGUCUUGAAGGUGUUAUCAUUCCUAUUUUGUUUAUCCCAAGCUAUCUUUUAACUUGCAGUAAGGGACGACAUCAAAAGAUCAGGGUCAGUGAAAAACUAUGUGAAUUAAGUUUUUUUAUCCUACAUUGAACUUUUGAUGUCGUCCCUAACAGCAUAAAAUUGAGAAUGGAAAUGAAGAAUGUGUCAGAGACAACAACGACCUACACCCAACCAAAGAACAGAAAACAAUGUCGUACACCCAAACAAAGAACAGAAAACAACGUCGUACACCCAACCAAAGAACAAAAAACAACGUCGUACACCCAACCAAAGAACAGAAAACAUAGGGUCUGAAUUAAUUAAAAAAGUUGACGACUGUAAAUUACAAAAUGAAAGAAUUUAAAGAGUAAUAAGUGUCAAAAUUAGAAAAUUGGGAAUUAUGCAAAGAAAAAAAGAUUUUUUUUGGACUGCACUUGUUUAUUAUAAAGUUGAUAACUCUUGUAUAAAUUUUCUCCAAUACAGAUAUGUGAAGAACUAAAUACUCCAUCUUUACCAUGUACAAAGAAGUGGUCAGGUCGAGGUGGAAAAUGGAAGUUUUUGGUAUCAGAGGCUACUGGUAGGAUGUAUCAGGUAUAUAACUAUUCUGGUUGAUUAUAAGUUAGAAUGGAUAUUACAUGUACAAAUUACCAUAAAUACUAGGAAGGCAAUGGCAGGCUGCACAAACUUGCAACUACCAACAUCCAAGGAAGCAAAAUAAUCAAGAGGGGAGCAAUUCUCAUUGUUUCAAUAAAAAGUGACCAAAGAUAUAGGUACAAAGUGUUGACAAACUGGCUAAUAUCAAUUUUUAUUUGGAUAUUUCAGGCAUAGCUAUAUGCCUUUAAAGUGUUUAAGAGAACAUAAAAAGGAUUUCUGGUGGCCUAUUUGGCUGUGUGGUAUUUAAUUGAUAGUAGUCAGUAUUCUGCCAAUACUAAUGUAGGGAGUUUGAUCCCCCUCUUUUGUGGCAAGAAUCUUUGGAAUCCAAUACAAAAUGUAGUGGAUUUCAGUUUGUUGAUUUCGGUCAGCAAUUAAAACACAGACAGUUGUACUAAGAAUAUAGAGGAGUAUAGAGUAUUUUCACCACAUUAGUUGUAGCAUUUAUAGUUAAUACUUGUAGGUAUAAUUAGAACUGACAAAUUGAUUGUUGUAGCAAAGUUACUAGGUAUGCAUGUUUACCUAAGAUAAGUGUGUUAUUGUAUCACUACAUCAGUGUUAAUUUGUUUGUACUUGUAGAUGUCAAUAACUUAUCAGAUAUUUACUGUAGAUAGAUAGGAUCUUAUCCAAGUAUUUCAUAUAAUAUUUCUUCUGAUAAACAACCCCCCUUGUGGAAUUGGUAAUAUUCUAUAAUGGGGAGAUUAUUAAAGAUACAAAAUCAUUACUAUCUAUCCAGAUAUCAUGGUGAUCAUGGAAUUUGAAAUAAGACUGUUCCCUAAUAUUAUAGCAUCACAUUUGUAAUACAACUGUAUACAUACAUUCUAUUGUAAAUCUAUUCAGAAAGCACAAUGAUAAUAAAUAUACCAUCACGCUUAUUGGCGGUAUUGCAUUAUGAGACGUAAUUUUGAUAUUUUACCUCAAAAACUGUUAGCUUCAUGUAACAUAGUUUGUUAUUUUCGUAAUAUUAUCGAUGAUUGAAAGUCUUUGACUUAAUAUAUUAUAAAGAAGACUUUUUAUGAAUUAAAGAGUUCUGCUGAAUGUUUCUGAGAAGUCUAAAUGCACCAUUUAAAAAGAUUGGAAAAACAACUAAUAUUUAUAUUUUAGAGUAAUGAAUAUAACGGCUUCCUGUAUGAUGUUUCACAAGGGAUAACAUUAAAUCAUUCGGCAUUGCUGGAAAAACCAGAUAACUCGCCUAAACCAUUCACGAGGGCUCCAUUUAUUGGAACUUUUAAGGUAUGAUUAUUGUUGUAUUUUUAAAAUUUAUAUACAUCUGUAAAUCUUAAGUCAUCUAUGAUACAGCAACUUAACAACAUCUUAAAACAAUAAAGGCCAUUACGUAAACUAUGACGUCAAAAUUAAAAAGUGAUUGUGCUUGACUUUAGAAGGUUAUUUUGGAACAGAUCUAAGGUCAUUUGGAGACAAAAUUCAGCUCAAUACCAAAAGUGUAAAUACGUUUAUAAUAGCCCUUAGCCUCUCCCACAGGUUGUGGAAUAGUUUAACAUAUCCUGUUGUGGAUUCAUUCUUAAUCAUUGAGUAAUAUUAUUUGCUGAUUUCUUUCGUAUACAUACAGUUGUGAUUGGACAAUAUUGAAAUAUUUCAUAGCUUCAAUGCCACAGUUGUUUUCAUCAAAGUUUUAUUACCAUUUGUUUUGCAUUAUCUCUGAUGAUAGAAAAUACAAUAUGAAAUUAAUAAUUACACAUGUAUUAUGACAGCAACUCAUGUGUUAUGGUUCAGCAGUUGCUUGAUUUGAUCUAUCAUUUUAUGGUUGCAAAUAAUCAUUGUCUGGCUCUGGUAAUGUAUUUAUGAAUUAUUGUUGAUCAUCUCAACGAGAUUGAUUUUCUUGCUUGAGCCGGGACGGCGAAAGCAAGAAAAGCAGUGAGAUGAAAUGACCAAUGAUAAUCUGUUUAUUGCUAUUUUACCUAUGACAAUAUUGUCAUUAAAUUUUCAUGUCAAUUUCAUUAGCAAAGCCACGUGCCUCCUAAGUUUCUAGCAAUAAUUUUCCAUCUCAAGCGAGUAGCAUGAUAUGAAAAGUUAUUACAAAAAAAGAUCAAAGGAAAAAUGCACAAGUAUAGUGAUAAACGAUGUUUGCUGAGUUUUUAGCUAUAAAAUAAAUUCUUGAUGCUGGCAAAUUAAACUUUAUUUUACAGAAAUUUUUAAAUGACAAAAAAUAAUUAAAAAAAAAAUGACAUGAAAGUGUCUGGUAUUGAAAAUGUUGAGUGACUGAUUAAGAAUUACCUUUUAUUCAGAUGAAGAAGUUUGAUUGUAUAGUUGUGAGUGUACACAUGAAGGCUACAGGAUUAGCUAAUGAAGACUUAAACAGACUUCAGGAAGAAAUAGAUCAAGUACCACAACUGAUCAAAGCAUUAGAACAACAAUAUCCAGGUAAAAAAGAGGAAGAAGAUGUGACAAUCAAAAUUAAUAAGUCAAAGAAACACAAGUCAAUACCAUUGUCAAAUAUGAAAACAAUGAAAAAAACAAAGAACAGUCAAAACACAAACAAGGGUAUCAUCUAAUAUAUAAAGAUUCUACGGCUGCAUCAACUGUGAUAUGAUAUUUAUCCUUGGAGACAGUUAAAUUUUCAAAUUUAAAACCCCAGUGAAGAAACGCUACACAGAAAACAUAGAAUUGACAACAUAAACCAAACUAAACCAUUAUAUUUUGAAAAAUAAAAAAUAAAAAAUAUAGACACCAAGGGUCAUUAUAAAGACAUCAAAAUCUUAAAAAUGAAAGAAUUGCAAUUUUCUUCUUAACACACAUAUAGGAUGAUAAUUAUAAAAGUAGUCACACAUUCCUGAUGUACGGUUCUACUCUUCACUAAUUUGACAACUUUAUACAUGUACAACAUAAGAGAGUACACAGCAAAUAAUGGAUGACACAAAAGUUUAUAAUUUUACAAGACUACAAACUUGAUGUACUAAAGUAAUAAUAUUAGAUGAUAUAUACAUGUAUAUGCAAAUGAAAUUUUCAGUUCUGUUAAUAAUAAUGUAAUUUUUCAGGGGAAGAAGAUAUUAUUAUGUUAGGGGAUUUCAAUUUAGAUCCACAGAAAGAAGGUAUGUAUUGCAAGUCAGAGUUUCUUAAAUGAAGGUAAAGGGGAAAUAUGCAUAGCUCUAGGAAAAUAUCAAAUCAAACAGCAAGUCUCAAUUAAAGUAGUUAAGACUUGCAUUGGGUUGGUGGUAAAAUUAAUUCCAUACAUCUACCUGGUAAUCAGAGCAUGUAAUCAGUUAGUUGUAACUAUCAGAUCACACAAUAACCAUAGCAAAUACUGAAAUACAAUUUAGACUGCACUUGUUCCGUCUUAGUUGUCAACAAGCCAACCACAAAAUCUAUUUCUGUAGAAAAAUAUGUGAUAAACUGUCAUUGACAAUUCCUAAUGCAACACCUACCACUUUUAAAAUUUGAAAUGAAACAUACACACUUGCAGCAGUCACUGGCAUAAUUUCAUUUCUAUGUAAAUAAAUUUUUGUAAUCUAUUUAAAUAAUUUAACAAAAAUUACUGCUCUUGUGCGGUUAUAUUUGUAUACGUUAAUUAAUCUUUUAUGAAUUGUCCAAUUCUGUAAUUCUAAGCAGAG